rnacentral:rRNA from 1 species
UACGUAGGGCGCAAGCGUUAUCCGGAAUUAUUGGGCGUAAAGAGCUCGUAGGCGGUUUGUCGCGUCUGCCGUGAAAGUCCGGGGCUCAACUCCGGAUCUGCGGUGGGUACGGGCAGACUAGAGUGAUGUAGGGGAGACUGGAAUUCCUGGUGUAGCGGUGAAAUGCGCAGAUAUCAGGAGGAACACCGAUGGCGAAGGCGGGAUCCUGGGCCAGUACUGACGCUGAGGAGCGAAAGCUAGGGGAGCGAACGGG